rnacentral:hammerhead_ribozyme from 1 species
GCGCUGCUGAUGAGUCCUACAAUAGGAGGAAACGGUCGUCCAGUGC